rnacentral:rRNA from 1 species
GAUGAACGCUAGCGGCAGGCUUAAUACAUGCAAGUCGAACGGGAUUCGAGGUAGCAAUACUUUGAUGAGAGUGGCGCACGGGUGCGUAACGCGUAUGCAACCUACCUUUAACAGGUGAAUAGCCCCGAGAAAUCGGGAUUAAUACACCGUAACAUUGCGCUGUGGCAUCACAGUGCAAUUAAAGAUUUAUCGGUUAAAAGAUGGGCAUGCGUGACAUUAGCUAGUUGGUGAGGUAACGGCUCACCAAGGCAACGAUGUCUAGGGGUCCUGAGAGGGUUAUCCCCACACUGGUACUGAGACACGGACCAGACUCCUACGGGAGGCAGCAGUAAGGAAUAUUGGUCAAUGGGCGCAAGCCUGAACCAGCCAUGCCGCGUGCAGGAAGACGGCCCU